GGUGAACGCUGGCGGCGUGCUUAACACAUGCAAGUCGAACGAGAACGGAUUAUAGCUUGCUAUAAUUGUCAGCUAAGUGGCGCACGGGUGAGUAAUGUAUAGGUAAUAUGCCUCUUACUAAGGGAUAACAAAUGGAAACGUUUGCUAAUACCUUAUACUCCUUAUUAACAGAAGUUAAUAAGGGAAAGAUUUAUUGGUAAGCAAUUAGCCUGUAUUGUAUCAGUUAGUUGGUGAGGUAACGGCUCACCAAGGCGACGAUCAGUAACCGACCUGAGAGGUCAAACGGUCACACUGGAACUGAGACACGGUCCAUACUCCUACGGGAGGCAGCAGUGGGGAAUAUUGCACAAUGGGCGCAAGCCUGAUGCAGCAACGCCGCGUGAGUGAAGAAGGCCUUCGGGUCGUAAAGCUCUUUCGCACGUGACGAUGAUGACGGUAACGUGAGAAGAAGCCCCGGCUAACUUCGUGCCAGCCGCCGCGGUAA
rnacentral:rRNA from 1 species